rnacentral:siRNA from 1 species
UCAUAUUUAGAAAGGGUGUUAAUG